CCAAGAGAUAGGAACUUAACAAUUUGUUCCGGCCUUUUUUAGGCUUCAUAGUACAGAAAUAAAAUAAC
ncrna:unclassified sequences lysM-Prevotella RNA